rnacentral:rRNA from 1 species
UACGUAGGCAGCGAGCGUUGUUCGGAGUUACUGGGCGUAAAGGGUGUGUAGGCGGUUGUUUAAGUUUGGUGUGAAAUCUCCCGGCUCAACUGGGAGGGUGCGCCGAAUACUGAAUGACUAGAGUGCGGGAGAGGAAAGUGGAAUUCCUGGUGUAGCGGUGAAAUGCGUAGAUAUCAGGAGGAACACCGGUGGUGUAGACGGCUUUCUGGACCGUAACUGACGCUGAGACACGAAAGCUAGGGGAGCAAACGGG